UAUCAGUUCUGUGACAACCGCUGUGUAUAUCACACAGCUUUAUUGUAAUCGAGGAUUAAUUAUUGAAGAAAUGUUCCCGGGUCAUCAUCCUCCCGGUCCACCAGGACCCCCCGGCCACCAUCCACCAGGCCCGCCAGGUCACCAUCACGGUCCACCUGGACCCCCUCAUCAUCCAGGGCCACAUGGUCCACCGGGAGUACAUUUGCCUCCAGGGCCCCAUGGCCCACCUGGUCAUUUUGGACCCCCUGGUCAUCAUGGACCUCCUGGCCACCCAGGACCUCACCCUCGCUAAGUAUUAAAAAUAAUGUCUAAAAUAUGGUGAUUCAGAAAACGCGAUCAGAAAUAACAAGACGUGAUGAAGAAUAUAGGAGAAUAUAAAUAAGUUGGCAUCUACCUCAAAUUGAAAACAAUACAUUUUUAAACAAUUUGGUCACCCUACAGCGAUCACUCGAUCAGUGUUAUGUCACUUUCCGUCAUGUACGUGCACAAAGUCAAAGAUAGACCAUAAUUUACAAGAGUUGCUAACUUUCUUGAACUAAAUACCUAAAACAAAAAAAUAACUAGUAUUUGUAAAAGUUAUGUUUAUUAUGCCUAUUAAACGAUAUUAUGUUAGAAUAGUUUAUUACUGAUCGUAUCUCUUAAUAAAUCAUAUUAUUCAAUUUG